rnacentral:rRNA from 1 species
UACGGAGGGGGCUAGCGUUGUUCGGAAUUACUGGGCGUAAAGGGCUUGUAGGUGGCCAACUAAGUCCGACGUGAAAUCCCUAGGCUUAACCUAGGAACUGCGUCGGAUACUGGAUGGCUUGAAUCCGGGAGAGGGAUGCGGAAUUCCAGGUGUAGCGGUGAAAUGCGUAGAUAUCUGGAGGAACACCGGUGGCGAAGGCGGCAUCCUGGACCAACACUGACACUGAGGAGCGAAAGCCAGGGGAGCAAACGGG